UAACUUUUGGUGUAAGGGCACAUUAAAUUUUGAUUUUAAAAGAGAUGACUCAGUUUAUUAAAGUUAA
rnacentral:tRNA from 1 species